rnacentral:rRNA from 1 species
GGCGAACGCUGGCGGCGUGCUUAACACAUGCAAGUCGAACGGAAAGGCCCUGCUUUUGUGGGGUGCUCGAGUGGCGAACGGGUGAGUAACACGUGAGUAACCUGCCCUUGACUUUUGGAUAACUUCAGGAAACUGGGGCUAAUACCGGAUAGGAUCUCCUGCUGCAUGGUGGUGGUUGGAAAGAUUCGGCGGUUGGGGAUGGACUCGCGGCUUAUCAGCUUGUUGGUGGGGUAGUGGCUUACCAAGGCUUUGACGGGUAGCCGGCCUGAGAGGGUGACCGGCCACAUUGGGACUGAGAGACGGCCCAGACUCCUACGGGAGGCAGCAGUGGGGAAUAUUGCACAAUGGGCGGAAGCCUGAUGCAGCAACGCCGCGUGCGGGAUGACGGCCUUCGGGUUGUAAACCGCUUUCGCCUGUGACGAAGCGUGAGUGACGGUAAUGGGUAAAGAAGCACCGGCUAACUACGUG